rnacentral:lncRNA from 1 species
AUGUGCCUGGUUCUGAGAGCUACUGCUGUUGUUCCAUUUUACAGAUGUGGACCGGUCACCAUGAGCCCAGGGCCGUGCAGCUUGUGCAUGUUGGAACCACAUCCUGACAUAAAUCAGUGGCCCAGACUCUGUCCCUCCCGGAGGAAAGUACAAAGGGACAGCGUGCCACAAAAACAUUGGUACGGAACCAUCAGAACCAUCCCUGGCUGUGAAAUGCGGGAGGGCCAUGCCAGCGCAUCCCAAGGGAAGAAAUCCUGUGAGCGCCGAGGUGGUGAAGACCAGGCAUCCAGACCUGCCAGUGGACUUGGGAGAACACCGCUCUCCUAUUCCGUCAGUGGAGACGUGUGUCUUGGUGAAGGGAUCAUCAACAGCCCCGGAGUGGAU